ensembl:snoRNA U3 Small nucleolar RNA U3
AAGACUAUACUUUCAGGGAUCAUUUCUAUAAUCUGUGACCAGAAUUAUGUAAUUCAAUAAAUAUUACAUAAACAAUUACAUUGU